AUGCAUGAGUUAACUAAGGAAAACAUUGAGCGCAUGAAUGCUAGAUAUAAACUUGCUGGAGAUAAGGGUAGAAAACAUGUUGUGUUUGCACCUGGAGAUCUUGUUUGGUUACAUUUGCGUAAGGAUAGAUUUCCUGAUUUGCGCAAAUCAAAGUUAAUGCCACGUGCUGAUGGUCCCUUUAAGGUGUUAGAGAAAAUAAAUGAUAAUGCAUAUAAACUUGAGCUGCCUGCAGAUUUUGGGGUUAGUCCCACUUUUAACAUUGCAGAUUUGAAGCCUUAUUUGGGUGAGGAAGAUGAACUUCCGUCGAGGACGACUUCAUUUCAAGAAGGGGAGGAUGAUGAGGACAUCAAUACAAUUGUUACACCCACAGCCCCUGCUGCUAUACAUACUGGACCAAUUACUAGAGCUCGUGCACGCCAACUAAAUUACCAGGAAACAGACCCUCGUGGUCAGGUUGAUCGUGCUCCGGCGUGGUCAAUAACCUCUCGGAGUUGGUUUAGCGAUUGCUAA
rnacentral:rRNA from 1 species